rnacentral:rRNA from 1 species
UUCUCCUACGGGACGCAGCAGUGGGGGAUAUUGCACAAUGGAGGGAACUCUGAUGCAGCGACGCCGCGUGAGGGAAGAAGGUUUUCGGAUUGUAAACCUCUGUCUUCGGUGACGAAACGAGACGGUAGCCGAGGAGGAAGCCACGGCUAACUACGUGCCAGCAGCCGCGGUAAUACGUAGGUGGCAAGCGUUGUCCGGAAUUACUGGGUGUAAAGGGAGCGUAGGCGGGAAAGCAAGUUGAAUGCUUAAGGUACGGGCUGCACCUGUACAAGCGUUCAAAACUGCUUUUCUUGAGUGGAGUAGAG